rnacentral:rRNA from 1 species
UAGGUGGGAGGCUUUGAAGUGUGGACGCCAGUCUGCAUGGAGCCGACCUUGAAAUACCACCCUUUAAUGUUUGAUGUUCUAACGUGGACCCGUAAUCCGGGUUGCGGACAGUGUCUGGUGGGUAGUUUGACUGGGGCGGUCUCCUCCUAAAGAGUAACGGAGGAGCACGAAGGUUGGCUAAUCCUGGUCGGACAUCAGGAGGUUAGUGCAAUGGCAUAAGCCAGCUUGACUGCGAGCGUGACGGCGCGAGCAGGUGCGAAAGCAGGUCAUAGUGAUCCGGUGGUUCUGAAUGGAAGGGCCAUCGCUCAACGGAUAAAAGGUACUCCGGGGAUAACAGGCUGAUACCGCCCAAGAGUUCAUAUCGACGGCGGUGUUUGGCACCUCGAUGUCGGCUCAUCACAUCCUGGGGCUGAAGUAGGUCCCAAGGGUAUGGCUGUUCGCCAUUUAAAGUGGUACGCGAGCUGGGUUUAGAACGUCGUGAGACAGUUCGGUCCCUA